rnacentral:rRNA from 1 species
AAACUCAAAGGAAUUGACGGGGGCCCGCACAAGCAGUGGAGUAUGUGGUUUAAUUCGAAGCAACGCGAAGAACCUUACCAGGUCUUGACAUCGUACGCAUAGCAUAGAGAUAUGUGAAAUCCCUUCGGGGACGUAUAGACAGGUGGUGCAUGGUUGUCGUCAGCUCGUGUCGUGAGAUGUUGGGUUAAGUCCCGCAACGAGCGCAACCCUUACUGUUAGUUGCUACGCAAGAGCACUCUAGCAGGACUGCCGUUGACAAAACGGAGGAAGGUGGGGAUGACGUCAAAUCAUCAUGCCCCUUAUGACCUGGGCUACACACGUACUACAAUGGCUGUUAACAGAGGCAAGCAAAACAGUGAUGUGGAGCAAAACCCUAAAAGCAGUCUUAGUUCGGAUUGUAGGCUGCAACCCGCCUACAUGAAGUCGGAAUGCUAGUAAUCGCGGAUCAGCAUGCCGCGGUGAAUACGUUCCCGGGCCUUGUACACACCGCCCGU